rnacentral:rRNA from 1 species
UUGACCUCGGAUCAGGUAGGGAUACCCGCUGAACUUAAGCAUAUCAAUAAGCGGANGGA